UUGAGUUUAAUUCAAGCAAAUCAUAUUGAAAAACUUGAUUUCACCUACUAAUUAUAUCAAAACGUAAUGAGUUAAUGAGUUUGGAUUCUGUUUGAUGGUGAAUGUUGCUAUAAUAAGAGUAACCUGUUGAGAGUGGUGAGUUACUUAGAAGAGGAAGAAUGGGUGGUGGAGCAUCAACAACACCAACACCUUCUGCCAAAGUAUCAGCCAUCUUCAUUUACCCAAUUAAAUCAUGCCGUGGAAUUUCUGUUUCCCAUGCUCCACUCAUUCAUACUGGAUUUCGAUGGGAUAGAAAAUGGAUGGUGGUGAAUCCUCAUGGAAGGAUGUACACCCAGAGAGUUGAACCAAGGCUUGCUUUGGUUGAGGUUGAACUGCCAUCUGAGGCCUUUCUUGAAAACUGGGAACCAACUCAAGAAUCCUAUAUGGUGGUGAAAGCACCUGGGAUGCAAGCUCUCAAAGUUUGUUUGAGUAAACAAGAGCAGGAAGUAGCAGAUGCUGUCACAGUAUGGGAAUGGACGGGAUCUGCCUGGGAUGAGGGAGCUGAAGCAUCUCAGUGGUUCUCAGAUUAUUUAGGAAAACCCUGUCAACUGGUCCGCUUCAACACUGCUUCAGAAGUUAGAAAAGUGGAUCCUGAUUAUGUCAAGGGACAACAUGAUACCUUAUUUACUGAUGGUUAUCCAUUCUUACUCGCAUCUCAGGAAUCAUUGAAUGCACUAAACGAGCAUCUGAAGGAGACCAUUUCUAUUAAUCGUUUUAGACCCAAUAUACUCGUUGAAGGUUGUGAACCAUUUUCUGAGGACAUUUGGACAGAAAUCAAGAUAAGCAAGUUUUCAUUUUUUGGAGUAAAACUCUGCUACCGCUGUAAGGUACUUUAUAAUGUCCCAUUCAUCAUUAUGCGACUCAAGAACGUGGAGCACAUGACUUACCCCGACACCGUCCAUUGUUGGGAAUAAUUCAACUGGCUUGAUUGAUUGUUGUAUGAGCAGAUGCCUACAAUCAAUCAAGGGACCGGAAUAGCAGAGCCUGAAACAAAUGAAAUUCUCAUGAAAACUAGGUCUGGAGAAAUCAUAAGACCAAAUGAUAAAAAUAAAAAAAAGGUUUACUUUGGUCAGUAUAUGACCUGGAACUGGACGGAAUUUUCAGCUGAAAGGAGUGGUAAAAUCAUUGAAGUGGGGGAUCCUGUUUAUGUUCUUCGGAAGGUUUCUUCUUCAGCUGAAGCAGCUGCUUGAACUGUGUAUGUGGAAUCUAUAUCGGUGCUUUAUGAGAAAUUAAAGAGCUAAAAUGACAUAAAAAUGAUCAACCAUAGUACCUACUCCAAUGAAGUUUGCUUUGCGUAGUUGUAACUGGAUAUACAAAUGAAUGCAAGCUGGGGCCUGUGAUAAGGCUUGUGCAAUGAAUAAAGAGGUUUUAUUUUUCUAUUUCAAUAAUGGUAAGUGGUGCCAAAGAUAUAGUUGCACGCACAAACUGGUUGAAAUGUGAUUGGUUACUCAUUAGUUUCAUGAAUCCACCCGUGUAUUCUAUCAAGAACAGAGCUAAAAUUGUCUCCAAAAAUAUCCACCGAAUGAAUUGGCAGCAGUGUUAUUCGUUGAUGAAUGAGUGGAUUCUAUCGUUUAACCAUCCAAUAAAAUAGUAUUGAAAAUGUUAAA